UACCAGCACCCCGAGUGGUCGGGACGAUUAUUGGGCCUAAAGCAUCCGUAGCCGGUUUUACAAGUCCUCCGUUAAAUCCAACUGCUUAACAGAUGGGCCGCGGAGGAUACUAUAAGACUAGGAGGCAGGAGAGGCAAGCGGUACUCAGUGGGUAGGGGUAAAAUCCGUUGAUCCAUUGAAGACCACCAGUGGCGAAGGCGGCUUGCCAGAAUGCGCUCGACGGUGAGGGAUGAAAGCUGGGGGAGCAAACCGGAUUAGAAACCCUAGUAGUCC
rnacentral:rRNA from 2 species